UAAUAAUAAUGUAAGUGUAAAGUACAUACUACAUGUUUUGCAUUUUGCAACAGAAACAGCUUCUUAUGGAGUAUUAUUUCACAGGCUACUUUUUUUUCAUGUAAUGUAUUAAAAUGUAAUUAUAAUUACGAUUGGGAUAAUGCAAAAAUAUACUUUUUGGUUAGUGAUAUCUAUUAUAUUGUGACAGAAUUUGGUUUCUCAAUAAUUCUCAUCGUGAGUGCCAAAAUGAUCAAUUGCAUCCUAAUGGAACGUUCAAGAUGUGAUUCAGUAACUGAUACGGUAGUUGCAAUCAUUAUUUUUGACCAAAUUGAAUCCAAAAAUAAUUGAAGAAAUGGUUUCAGAUGAUUACGAAUAAGCGCAGCUAUAUCUGGAGAGGUAAUGCACCUACUGAUAUCCCGUGAUAAGAACUUGGGAGAGAUUUAGUGAAAACCUGGAGAACGGCCACUUAGCUCACAAAUCUGAGCUGUUCACAUCAAGCUGAUAUUUGUGACAGCCAUUAUAGCUUUAAUCAUUUUCUCGAUUGAUCAAAGCACCACAGGCUGCAUCGUUCGUCACCUCUGCCUUCAAGCGCGUUAUGACUUACUCCAAUAAGCCACCCAAUAUCCUUAAUAAGCAAUAGAAGUUCUUAUCGACUAUGUAUGACUCAUUAAUAUCCAUGUUUUGUAUAAAUUUAUGUGAUAGGCCUACUGGUAUUAAUGUUGAUGUACCGUAAUGUUUUUUGCUCAUGUAUAAUUGAUAAUAAUACAUUAAAAAUAAAUAUAAUGUUAAAUUAUUA